GACGAACGCUGGCGGCGUGCUUAACACAUGCAAGUCGAGCGGUAAGGCCCUUUCGGGGGUACACGAGCGGCGAACGGGUGAGUAACACGUGGGUGACCUGCCUUUAGCUCUGGGAUAAGCCUGGGAAACCGGGUCUAAUACCGGAUAUGACUCCGCGGCGCAUGUUGUGGGGUGGAAAGCCUUGUGCGGCUGGAGAUGGGCCCGCGGCCUAUCAGCUUGUUGGUGGGGUNAUGGCCUACCAAGGCGACGACGGGUAGCCGGCCUGAGAGGGCGACCGGCCACACUGGGACUGAGACACGGCCCAGACUCUACGGGAGGCAGCAGUGGGGAAUCUUGCGCAAUGGCGAAAGCCUGACGCAGCGACGCCGCGUGAGGGAUGACGGCC
rnacentral:rRNA from 1 species